rnacentral:rRNA from 1 species
GACGUAGGGGACUAGCGUUGUUCGGAUUUACUGGGCGUAAAGGGCGCGUAGGCGGCACCGCAAGUCGACUGUGAAAUCUCCGGGCUUAACCCGGAAAGGUCAGCCGAUACUGCGGGGCUAGAGUGCAGAAGGGGCAACUGGAAUUCUCGGUGUAGCGGUGAAGUGCGUAGAUAUCGAGAGGAACACCUGCGGCGAAGGCGGGUUGCUGGGCUGACACUGACGCUGAUGCGCGAAAGCUAGGGGAGCGAACGGG